AACGAACGCUGGCGGCAUGCCUAACACAUGCAAGUCGAACGAGACCUUCGGGUCUAGUGGCGCACGGGUGCGUAACGCGUGGGAAUCUGCCCUUGGGUUCGGAAUAACAGUUAGAAAUGACUGCUAAUACCGGAUAAUGUCUUCGGACCAAAGAUUUAUCGCCCAGGGAUGAGCCCGCGUAGGAUUAGCUAGUUGGUGAGGUAAAGGCUCACCAAGGCGACGAUCCUUAGCUGGUCUGAGAGGAUGAUCAGCCACACUGGGACUGAGACACGGCCCAGACUCCUACGGGAGGCAGCAGUGGGGAAUAUUGGACAAUGGGCGAAAGCCUGAUCCAGCAAUGCCGCGUGAGUGAUGAAGGCCUUAGGGUUGUAAAGCUCUUUUACCCGGGAUGAUAAUGACAGUACCGGGAGAAUAAGCCCCGGCUAACUCCGUGCCAGCAGCCGC
rnacentral:rRNA from 1 species